AGAAAGGAGAACCUGUUUAUUUAUUCUUGGAUACAGAACGCAAUAAUGUGAACGUCCCUAUUCCUUUUCUGAUGAGUCAACACUUCGUGGCAAAUGUUUUCCUUGUUUCAUUUGCCAUUACCAAUUAAGCGAAGUUAUGAAACAAGGAAUAACUUUAAGGCACCCUGAAGCAUAACACAGCCGAAAGUAAAAGUGAGCUUCACAGCUUACCACCGACUUUCCCGCCUAGAACAGCCAUUUCGGGAGGGGAAGGAACGUUUCCUUUCCAUGACGUCCCACCCAAUCUAACGACUGGGUGCACGUGCUAGAUAGAAAGCCAGAGGCGUGCAGUUUACGCCUGCGCUCUGCGAUGCUACAUAAAUGAGAGAGAGAGACCAAGCGAGCUGGCGUUCUUACUUUCUGGCGGGGUGGGGAUGGGAUGUAAGCUGUGGAAGGCUUAGCAGGGGCCCGCCGCCGCUCAUAGGUGUAGCACCACCCGCAGCGGCACGUGCCGUUUGUUUUCUCCCUUAAGCUUCUGGUUGGUGGCCCGGGGAUCCCCACGUGCAUGCCUGCGAAGAAGAAAAGGGUCAGCGGCGGAUGCGUGACCGUGUGGUUGUUUGCCUGCGAGCUGGGGACUCUCCUGCUGGUUUUGCCGCACCGCCAACUGCGGAGCUUUUGCUCAGCUCCCGAGCACCUUUGGCGGCUGCUAUGCUGUGGAAUAACUCGGACUGCGCCUCAAGCUCUAGUCCUGUGCCCUCCGGUGCCUUUUCCCUCCUUCAUGACUGCUCCUUCGCCGGUGGCGGCAACCGUCCUGGGGAGGGUCAUGGCCCCUGGGCCUCCGGAGCAUGCUGCUUUGGCAGCCGAUCCCCCCGUGAGCGCGGCUAGCGGGAAGCAGGAGCCCCGGGCAGUGCUGCCCGCUCAGAGAACGGUUGCCUCUCCCUCCUGUCGGGCGAUACCCACGGGCAGCCCUGCUGGGUUGUUCCUGAAUCCUGUAGGCGCCAGGCUUCCCCUUAGUUUCGUCCCAUCCUUCGCCCUUCAACCCCGAGUGCUGCCUGCUGCUCCCAUAGGAAUGAAACUCGCCUCCUCGACUCCGGGUCAGCAGUCUAGCAACAUGGGUGUGAGGCAGCCAGUCCCUCCCUCGGGAGGACCCAAAUCCGCACAAACGACAAUACAAUUGCCUGCUAAUUUUCAGAUCCCCCAAGGAAUGAUUCUGGUCAGAAGUAAUACCGGUCAAUUAAUGUUGAUAUCUCAACAAGCAUUACUACAAGCUCAGAGUCAGACCUCAAAUAAUACCAGUGUAAGAUCCUCAAUGCCUCCAACUGCACCUACCAUCAAAAUUCAGCCUGUACAGAGUUCUGGAACUCAGGUACUUAAAGUACUAACGGCUCCUGUUAAAACGCUAUCUUGGGCAACUCAUUCUAUUACUUCUACUGUUAAGAAGCCUGCUGUAAUUCAGAUCAUGCCAUGCAAAUGA
rnacentral:lncRNA from 1 species